UCCGUGCCUUACACACGUGUCCAACACCACCGUAUCUCAUAUGCUCAUCCCUCUCUUCACUCUGAUCCCUUCCCCCAAGGCCCAAACCCUUUCUAUUCUCUCUCAACAAUCUCAUCUGAUAACUUAUAUCUCUUCCUCAGUUUUCCUUCGUUGUUGGUUACGGUGGUGAUUGGCGCUGACGAUGACGGAAAUGGUUUUACCUGAAGGCGAAUCCAACAACAUCGAGUGGCUACGAAAUCAGACCGGCAGAAGUGGAUUCGACCUACAGAGAUGACAGAAGUUGAUUUAAGACGAGGUAAGGGUUACUCAGAGGAUUGGCAUCGACAUUGUGGUGCAGGCACUAGAGUUGUUUUCUGGCAAACAAGCUCGAGACGAAUUACGGUGUUGAAGCAAUUGAAUCGUCUCGUCAACGUUUCGAUUGGAAGAGUCAAAAUGUACCUUCUAUGUGUGUGAUAAGAGUAUUUGAUGAUUCAUAUUGGUUGCGAUCGUAUUAUGGUGAAGAACAAAAGGAUUCAAAUGAAAGAGAUCAUACGAAUUGCUACUGAUGUGGCGGAAGGGAUCAAGAAGUUCAUGAAUGAUCAUGGUGUUGCUUACAAAGACCUUAACACAAAGUGGAUUCUGUUUGAUAAAAAUGGGACUGUGUGUUUAGGGGAUACAGGUAUCGUUGCCGCUUGCAAAACUGUCGGUGAAGCUAUGGAAUACGAAACUGAUGGUUACUGUUGGCUUGCUCACGAGAUCAUCGCGGGUGAUCUAAAAACAGUCAGCAGAGACGUGGAUGAGCAACGUGUUUAGUUUCGGAAUGGUGGUAUGGGAGAUGAUGACAGGGAGGCAGCGUAUGCUACACUCUCUCCCACACAUUUGAUAUUAGCCACUUUGAUUGGUUUGCUAAUAUUAUGAGUGUUGUUAACGCAAAAAACUCGACGACAUCGAUGAGUUGAAUUGUCGGUAAAUGGAAGACCUGGGCUGGCGGUGCGUUGAGAUAUACAAAUUUGUAAGAAGCAAAAUAACUAUUUAGCUCGACAAUUUUUUUUUUUGGUUGAGUGUCAGUUUCGAUCAAGUGGAUUCCACGAUUCUUCAAGUAUGACAGAUGUGGUUCAACAUUCAGCUAUACUUGCUAUACAGGUUCUAUAGGUUAGCUGUGCAAAAAUACAUAUUGCUAAACAGGUUCUAAGAAUUUUGUGUUGUAUUGAAACUAAAGAGUGUUUUGAAAAUCAGAUUCUUGUCUUUUCUUCUCAUUGUAGGAUUCGGAUGAAUAUGAGAUGUAGUUAAACUUGUCCGGUUUUUAAAAUAUUGACUUUUUACUUUAAAUUCUGUAAAUUAACAUGUGGUUUGAUAUGCUUCAGGGGCGGAACUACCUUUAUAUGCUAUCCAAAAAACUGUAGAGAAUGAAUUCAGUUACAAAACAGAGCCUUCUUUUGCUUUCUUGGAAUCGAUGCUCCUUAGAGAGUGGGAGGAUCGCGUGGAGAGCGGGUUGUUUCGCUAUGAUGUUACUGUGGCAUCAAAUCUUAAAGUGGCCAUUUUCAUGCAUGCUUGGUUUUCUAACAAAUUAACCAAUCAAUCUGAAACAUAAUUAACUUAUUUGCAACUUGCAAUAGUAGUUAUUGCCUACCUAAUUAUAUAGUUAUUGAACAUGUGAUUUCAGGAGAUUAUUAUGAGUAUAUAUCUCAAUUAAACGAGGGUCGCCACCGCAAAAAAAAGCGCCCAACUGAGUUUCAAGUGGAUAGUUCUUCAACCAUUUGAUGGGAGCAAGUUCAGCUUCAGUAUAUAGUUGGGCUACUAAGAUGUUGAAGUUGACGAAUUAAAUACAAGAAUUAGCUGGAAUGUUUUGAUUGUGGACAUUAGAAGUAUCUUAGAAGGUCUUAUUGAGUCGUUUUUGCUCCUUUUUGUUUGUUUUUUUUUCCGUUUUUUGUUUUUAGUAUCUGUUACGAAAUGCUUUGAUAUUCGCGUCAUGUACAAGGGUGCUUUUUU